rnacentral:rRNA from 1 species
GAUGAACGAUGGCGGCGUGCCUAAUACAUGCAAGUCGAGCGAACGGACGAGAAGCUUGCUUCUCUGAUGUUAGCGGCGGACGGGUGAGUAACACGUGGAUAACCUACCUAUAAGACUGGGAUAACUUCGGGAAACCGGAGCUAAUACCGGAUAAUAUUUUGAACCGCAUGGUUCAAAAGUGAAAGACGGUCUUGCUGUCACUUAUAGAUGGAUCCGCGCUGCAUUAGCUAGUUGGUAAGGUAACGGCUUACCAAGGCAACGAUGCGUAGCCGACCUGAGAGGGUGAUCGGCCACACUGGAACUGAGACACGGUCCAGACUCCUACGGGGGGCAGCAGUAGGGAAUCUUCCGCAAUGGGCGAAAGCCUGACGGAGCAACGCCGCGUGAGUGAUGAAGGUCUUCGGAUCGUAAAACUCUGUUAUUAGGGAAGAACAUAUGUGUAAGUAACUGUGCACAUCUUGACGGUACCUAAUCAGAAAGCCACGGCUAACUACGUG